rnacentral:lncRNA from 10 species
CGAAACUAUGCUAGUUCCAUGAGUGCUCCAAGUGAGGCAAGACAGAGACUAGUCCCUUGGGCAGCCCUCUGAAGAGCCAGAAUGCCAACACAUGCUCCACUCUUCUCCCUCCUUGCCAAGGAAGAAGUCUUAACUUGUGCACUUCCUCCCCCAAUUGUGCCAUGCUGUGCCAACCAUAUCAAGCCACCUGCUGCUUUCCAUUGUCCUCAGUGACCCCCAGACAUUCAAAUUAUGCUAGUUCUGUGGGCACACCAAUCAAGGAAGUAAGAGACCUGUUUCUUGGGCAGCUCUCUGAAAAGCUGGAAUGUUGGAGGCAUGCUCUAUUCUUUUCUCCCAGAGGAAAAAGAUGUGAAGAGGCAUUCUGUCUUGGCACUGAGCUGUGCUAACUUGGGGGAGAGGCUGAUGCAGAUCGUGUAGACUUCAAUUGGCAGAGUUACUCAGUAUUAUUUACUUGGAAAAUCCUCUGUAACCUAAAAGUCCUAGCUCUCCUGACACUAAGGAUGACAAUGGAACACUUAAAUGGCCUGUUAUUUGAUGAAGAUGAUAUAAAUAGAAGCAGAGCAGCACAUAGUGUGACCACGAAAGGCCAAAGAGCACAUACUGGAGACCUGAAUGUCAACCAAACUGCAUAAUCCCUGUUUAUCUUCAUUGUAGAAAUUGCCAUAACC